GUAGAGACCGAUAGCAACCACGUGAUCAGUAAAAAUCGUGUAUUUUCACGUGAAAUUAUUUUUCGGAAUUCCGUACAUCGCCAUAGAGUAGUUGAAAAACAAAAAGGGGUUCCGAAAGUACAAGUUGCUGUGACUGAAUCGAUGAUUGAGAGGGUCGUCUCGACGAAAGAUAUAGAAAUUUGGCCAUAGUUUAGAUUAGGAAUACGUCAAUGUAAUAAUAGUGGACUAAAUGUUUCGUCCGUGCAGAAUGGCACUUUUUACCUCACGAAAUUCACCACCAUGCAUAGCUGCGCUACGUAAACAAAGUUGUUGAUGUAGCGUGAUCGUGGUGUCCGAGUGCUGCGAGUUUCAAUACUGUUUAUGUAGUCAUUGAGAGUUUAAACAAAGUUUCUUCUGAGAAGAGGAAUUCGAUGGAUGCAUUCAACGUGGACAACGAAAUCAUAAUUUCGUUUGCAUCAUCCUAAGGACCAGUGCAAGUUGAAAUGGGCUUCCAGUCAACAACUUCAACAGCAAUUUGCCAUGAAAAUCAGCAAGAAAGGUACUUCAUUUACAUUGAUGAUGUCAUAUCCCCUGGACCCCACAACUUCACAGGUUACAGAGAAAAUU